rnacentral:rRNA from 1 species
GUGGGGAAUAUUGGACAAUGGAUGCAAGUCUGACCCAGCCAUCCCGCGUGCCGGAAGAAGGCCCUCAGGGUUGUAAACGGCUUUUGACGGUGAAGAAUCGACAGGAUGCGUCCUGUUUUGACGGUAGCCGUUGAAUAAGCACCGGCUAACUCCGUGCCAGCAGCCGCGGUAAUACGGAGGGUGCGAGCGUUGUCCGGAUUUAUUGGGUUUAAAGGGUGCGUAGGCUGGAAGGUCAGUCAGCGGUGAAAAGCUGUCGCUUAACGAUAGUCUUGCCGCAGAUACUUCCUUUCUUGGAUGAGGAGGAGGCCACUGGAACGGAUGGUGUAGCGGUGAAAUGCAUAGAUAUCAUCCAGAACACCGAUUGCGAAGGCAGGUGGCUGUACCUUAAUCGACGCUGAUGCACGAAAGCAUGGGGAGCAAACAGGAUUAGAAACCCUUGUAGUCC